rnacentral:rRNA from 1 species
AAUGAACGCUGGCGGCAGGCCUAACACAUGCAAGUCGAACGGAUCCUUCGGGAUUAGUGGCGGACGGGUGUGUAACGCGUGGGAACAUACCCUUUGGUACGGAAUAGCCUCGGGAAACUGGGAGUAAUACCGUAUGUGGUCGAGAGACGAAAGAUUUAUCGCCAAAGGAUUGGCCCGCGUUGGAUUAGGUAGUUGGUGGGGUAAUGGCCUACCAAGCCGACGAUCCAUAGCUGGUUUGAGAGGAUGAUCAGCCACACUGGGACUGAGACACGGCCCAGACUCCUACGGGAGGCAGCAGUGGGGAAUCUCAGACAAUGGGGGAAACCCUGAUCUAGCCAUGCCGCGUGAUCGAUGAAGGCCUUAGGGUUGUAAAGAUCUUUCAGGUGGGAAGAUAAUGACUGUACCACCAGAAGAAGCCCCGGCUAACUCCGUGCCAGCCGCCGCGGUAA